GACGAGAGUCUCAGAGAGAGUCUCAGGGUGAGAGACGAGAGUCUCAGAGUGAGAGAGAGAGAGUCUCUUUAUGUCUAAAAGGAUCCUUCAUCCAUCAGCAGCUCGUUUGUUUGUCCCUAAAUGAAGAGCUCCAUCAGGAGGAAGUCAUUAUGAGGGACGACAAUUAAGCACAAGGACGCAGGAGACGGCCUUGUGACGCACACACACAAACUCACACACACAAACUCAUACACACACAAACUCACACGCACACACACAAUCACACACUGUCGUGACCUUCAGAGUCACUUUGCUUCCUAAUGGAGGACAAACUGAAUCAAACCUGUGAGUGUUAAGCUUCAGAUUCAUCAGAGUUCUUUAUUUCAGUUGAUCAGCUGAGUCAGGAUCAGUUCACUCGUCAGCAAGCAGCGAGACUUAUGUUCUCUCUUUCCUUUACUGUCCUGUUUUCUCUUUCCUUUACUACAUCUGUCCUGUGUUCUCUCCUUCCUUUACUACAUCUGUCCUAUGUUCUCUCUUUCCUUUACUACAUCUGUCCUGUGUUCUCUCUUUCCUUUACUACAUGUGUUCUAUGUUCUCUCUUUCCUUUACUACAUCUGUCCUGUGUUAUCUCCUUCCAUUACUACAUCCGUCCUGUGUUCUCUUUCCUUUACUACAUCUGUCCUGUGUUCUCUCCUUCCUUUACUACAUCUGUCCUGUGUUCUCUUUCCUUUACUACGUCUGUCCAGUGUUCUCUCCUUCCUUUACUACAUCUGUCCUGUGUUCUCUUUCCUUUACUACGGCUGUCCAGUGUUCUCUCCUUCCUUUACUACAUCUGCCCUGUGUUCUCUUUCCUUUACUACAUCUGUCCUGUCUUCUCUUUCCUUUACUACAUCUGUCCUGUGUUCUCUUUCCUUUACUACAUCUGUCCUGUGUUCUCUCUUUCCUUUACUACAUCUCUCCCUUCUCUCUCCCCCUCCUUCCUCCUUCCUUUCUCCCUUCUCUCUUUUCACUACAUUAUUCUGAUGUCUCUCUAUGUUGUGUUCUCGGUCAGAGCUUUCAUUCUGGUACCUGUGUGUGUAAUUGCCGUGUAGUUUCUACCCACUGAGUGUCUAACUGCUUUAUAAUGUCAGUUUGUCAGUCAGAGAGUCAGUGAGGAGACAAGAGAGGAGAGGAAACAAGGACACUGAAGAUGGAUGUUGAUGGUUGACUGACAGAUAAUAGACACACACACACACUCACACACUCUGAGGCUCUGUUGUUUGUGUGUGAUUUAUUUCCCAGGAUUCCUUUCACAUCAUUAUGUCGUCGUGUGAGUCUCUGGAGUCACUUUGUGGACAUUUUGACCGACAGUCUCUAAAGUAAACAUGGCACACAAUGACCUCUGGGAUUUAUUCACACAACAGGAAGUAAACGAUAACAGGUGGAGAACAGGAAGUAAACGAUAACAGGUGGAGAACAGGAAGUAAACUAACAGGUGGAGAGGCUCUGGUGUUAGAAUCACUUCUGUUACAUAUUAUUAUAUUUGUACUAUUGUAUUUAUGUACUAUGAUCGUAUUGCUGGUGUGUUCUAUUGUGUAAUAAUAUCAGUAUUAUAUAUCAUUAUUAUUCUAUUGUUCAUAUUUGUUUAUAUUUUUCUUAUAUAUAUUUUGUAUCUUUAAUAAAACUAAUUGAAUUAA